rnacentral:rRNA from 1 species
AGUGAACGCUGGCGGCAGGCCUAACACAUGCAAGUCGAGCGGCAGCGCAGCAGUAGCAAUACUGUGGGCGGCGAGCGGCGGACGGGUGAGGAAUACAUCGGAAUCUACCUUGUUGUGGGGGAUAACGUAGGGAAACUUACGCUAAUACCGCAUAAGACCUGAGGGUGAAAGCGGGGGACCGCAAGGCCUCGCGCGACAAG